GACCAUGUAGCCUGAUGGAUAAGGCAUCUGAGUUCAGCUCAGAAGACUGCAGGUUUCAGUCCCUUCUUGGUUG
rnacentral:tRNA from 1 species